rnacentral:rRNA from 1 species
UUCAUUCAAAUUUCUGCCCUAUCAACUUUCGAUGGUAAGGUAUUGGCUUACCAUGGUUUCAACGGGUAACGGGGAAUUAGGGUUCGAUUCCGGAGAGGGAGCCUGAGAAACGGCUACCACAUCCAAGGAAGGCAGCAGGCGCGCAAAUUACCCAAUCCCGACACGGGGAGGUAGUGACAAUAAAUACUGAUACAGGGCUCUUUUGGGUCUUGUAAUUGGAAUGAGUACAAUUUAAACCUCUUAACGAGGAACAAUUGGAGGGCAAGUCUGGUGCCAGCAGCCGCGGUAAUUCCAGCUCCAAUAGCGUAUAUUAAAGUUGUUGCAGUUAAAAAGCUCGUAGUUGAACCUUGGGUCUGGCUGGCAGGUCCGCCUCACCGCGUGUACUUGUCCGGCCGGGCCUUCCUUCUGGAGAACCUCAUGCCCUUCACUGGGCGUGUUGGGGACCAGGACUUUUACUUUGAAAAAAUUAGAGUGUUCAAAGCAGGCCUUUGCUCGAAUACGUUAGCAUGGAAUAAUAGAAUAGGACGUGCGGUCCUAUUUUGUUGGUUUCUAGGACCGCCGUAAUGAUUAAUAGGGACAGUCGGGGGCAUCAGUAUUCAAUUGUCAGAGGUGAAAUUCUUGGAUUUAUUGAAGACUAACUACUGCGAAAGCAUUUGCCAAGGAUGUUUUCAUUAAUCAGUGAACGAAAGUUAGGGGAUCGAAGACGAUCAGAUACCGUCGUAGUCUUAACCGUAAACUAUGCCGACUAGGGAUCGGGCGAUGUUCUUUUUCUGACUCGCUC